rnacentral:rRNA from 1 species
AACGAACGCUGGCGGCAUGCCUAACACAUGCAAGUCGAACGAGACCUUCGGGUCUAGUUGCGCACGGGUGCUUAACGCGUGGGAACCUGCCUUUAGGUUCGGAAUAACUCAGAGAAAUUUGAGCUAAUACCGGAUGAUGUCUUCGGACCAAAGAUUUAUCGCCUUUUGAUGGGCCCGCGUUGGAUUAGCUAGUUGGUGGGGUAAAGGCCUACCAAGGCGACGAUCCAUAGCUGGUCUGAGAGGAUGAUCAGCCACACUGGGACUGAGACACGGCCCAGACUCCUACGGGAGGCAGCAGUGGGGAAUAUUGGACAAUGGGCGAAAGCCUGAUACAGCAAUGCCGCGUGAGUGAUGAAGGCCUUAGGGUUGUAAAGCUCUUUUACCCGAGAUGAUAAUGACAGUAACGGGAGAAUAAGCUCCGGCUAACUACGUG